GUAGGGAAUCUUCCACAAUGGACGAAAGUCUGAUGGAGCAACGCCGCGUGAGUGAAGAAGGUCUUCGGAUCGUAAAACUCUGUUGUUAGAGAAGAACGUGCAUGAUAGUAACUGAUCAUGUAAUGACGGUAUCUAACCAGAAAGCCACGGCUAACUACGUGCCAGCAGCCGCGGUAAUACGUAGGUGGCAAGCGUUGUCCGGAUUUCUUGGGCGUAAAGGGAACGCAGGCGGUUUUUUAAGUCUGAUGUGAAAGCCUUCGGCUUAACCGAAGAAUAGCAUUGGAAACUGUAAGACGUGAGUGCAGAAGAGGAGAGUGGAAUUCCAUGUGUAGCGGUGAAAUGCGUAGAUAUAUGGAGGAACACCAGUGGCGAAAGCGGCUCUCUGGUCUGUAACUGACGCUGAGGUUCGAAAGCGUGGGUAGCAAACAGGAUUAGAAACCCUGGUAGUCC
rnacentral:rRNA from 1 species